UUAAAGCCCAACAAAAAUUAUUUUAAAGUUUCUAUAAUAUAUAUCCUUUUCUCAUAGAUAACUAAAUAAAGCCUUUAACCCGUUUGGCGGUAAUAUGGUGGGUUGUCUGGACUGAGCGCAACAACACUAUCUUCCGCGAGGUGCUUCCCAAUGCUACAGGCUCUUAAACGUGUCGCUUCUUUGACCAAUGCCUGGAACGGAGCCCUUUGACCCUUGCUUGUCCCUUCUUCCAUGCUCGGUCCCUAUUUCUUUCUUUUCGUUAUCCACCCCGCUUUUCUUGUUUAUUUUGUCUAAUCGGUAGGUGUAGAAUUCUUUAUUUUGGGUUUUCUUUCUUGUAUUUUUUCGGCUCUUUCAGGAGGCCCUAGUUGUCUCCAUCAUGUACGCUUAGUUCAUUUCGUUUAAUGAAUGAAGCAGAUAGCUUGCUACCUAUUUCUCAAAAAAAAACUAAAUAAAGCCUUUUAAUAUUAUAAAAAAUCUUUUUAAAUGGUGGGU
rnacentral:lncRNA from 1 species